CAGCACCUCAAGUGGUCAGGAUGAUUAUUGGGCCUAAAGCAUCCGUAGCCGGCUCUGUAAGUUUUCGGUUAAAUCUGUACGCUCAACGUACAGGCUGCCGGGAAUACUGCAGCGCUAGGGAGUGGGAGAGGUAGACGGUACUCGGUAGGAAGGGGUAAAAUCCUUUGAUCUAUUGAUGACCACCUGUGGCGAAGGCGGUCUACCAGAACACGUCCGACGGUGAGGGAUGAAAGCUGGGGGAGCGAACCGGAUUAGAUACCCGUGUAGUCC
rnacentral:rRNA from 1 species